GCCGAAAUAGCUCAGCUGGUAGAGCAACGCAUUCGUAAUGCGUAGGUCGCCGGUUCAAGUCCGGCUUUCGGCUC
rnacentral:tRNA from 2 species